rnacentral:rRNA from 1 species
AACGAACGCUGGCGGCAUGCCUAACACAUGCAAGUCGAACGAGACCUUCGGGUCUAGUGGCGCACGGGUGCGUAACGCGUGGGAACCUGCCCUUAGGUUCUGAAUAACUCCCCGAAAGGGGUGCUAAUACCGGAUAAUGUCUUCGGACCAAAGAUUUAUCGCCUUGGGAUGGGCCCGCGUUGGAUUAGCUAGUUGGUAGGGUAAAAGCCUACCAAGGCGACGAUCCAUAGCUGGUCUGAGAGGAUGAUCAGCCACACUGGGACUGAGACACGGCCCAGACUCCUACGGGAGGCAGCAGUGGGGAAUAUUGGACAAUGGGCGAAAGCCUGAUCCAGCAAUGCCGCGUGAGUGAUGAAGGCCUUAGGGUUGUAAAGCUCUUUUACCCGGGAUGAUAAUGACAGUACCGGGAGAAUAAGCUCCGGCUAACUCCGUG